rnacentral:rRNA from 1 species
UUGACCUCGGAUCAGGUAGGGAUACCCGCUGAACUUAAGCAUAUCAAUAAGCGGAGGAAUCAUUA